rnacentral:snRNA from 1 species
AACGCUUCUCAGCCUUUUGGCUAAGAUCAAGUGUAGUAUCUGUUCUUAUCAGUUUAAUGAAGUGACAUUAAAAUACAAUAUUUUGACUAUUCAUCCUCA